rnacentral:rRNA from 1 species
GAUGAACGCUGGCGGCGUGCUUAACACAUGCAAGUCGAACGGAAAGGCUCCUGCUUGCAGGGGUACUCGAGUGGCGAACGGGUGAGUAACACGUGGGUGAUCUGCCCUGCACUUCGGGAUAAGCCUGGGAAACUGGGUCUAAUACCGGAUAGGACGAUGGUUUGGAUGCCAUUGUGGAAAGUUUUUUCGGUGUGGGAUGAGCUCGCGGCCUAUCAGCUUGUUGGUGGGGUAAUGGCCUACCAAGGCGUCGACGGGUGGCCGGCCUGAGAGGGUGUACGGCCACAUUGGGACUGAGAUACGGCCCAGACUCCUACGGGAGGCAGCAGUGGGGAAUAUUGCACAAUGGGCGCAAGCCUGAUGCAGCGACGCCGCGUGGGGGAUGACGGCCUUCGGGUUGUAAACUCCUUUCGCUAGGGACGAAGCGCAAGUGACGGUACCUGGAGAAGAAGCACCGGCUAACUACGUG